CAUUUUCUUAAUCACCCUGAACACGCCCGAUCUCGUCUGAUCUCGGAAGCUAAGCAGGGUCGGGCCUGGCUAGUACUUGGGUGGGAGACUUUUGUAUUUCACUGCGUCCACAGGAGUGCUCUGGGGAGGGAAGGC
ensembl:rRNA 5S_rRNA 5S ribosomal RNA